rnacentral:tRNA from 1 species
GGUCCCUUUGUCUAUCGGUUAGGACGUGAGAUUCUCAAUCUCAAAAGACGGGUUCAACUCCCGUAGGGACCG